CUUAUCUCACUCUCAUCUAAUCAGUCUCUCAUACUCACCCUCUCACUCUCAUCUCAUCACUCAUCUCGGCCGAUCAACCUCGCAAGAGAUCGACUCUCACUCAUCGCAAGAUUGACCGAUCGACCUCAUACUCUCAUCGCACCGAUCGACCUCCCAGGUUUUGGUGGUUAGACAAGACCUAAAGAUGGGAGUAUGAAAGAUUGCGUCCCAAUGUGCUCAUGCUGCUGCUGGGAUGUAUUCAGAACUGAUGCAAAGUUAUGACAAUGCUAAACACAGGAUUACUUCAUUUAUUCAAGCCCUGAAAUUUACUUUGAUUCUAAUAGUUUCUUUCCCCUCUUAUUCUCUUUAAUAAUUAACAUCCUUAAUGGCAAAAACAAU